UCCGUGUUAACCACGGCAGUCUCUCUAGAGAGCCCAACUGAAUGCUGGCAACUAAAGAUAAGGGUUGCGCUCGUUGCGGGACUUAACCCAACAUGUCACCACACGAGCUGACGACAGCCAUGCAGCACCUGUCUCCCAGCCCCCUUGCGGGGAAGACCCGAUCUCUCGGGCUGUCCGGGGAUGUCAAAUCCAGGUAAGGUUCUUCGCGUUGCUUCGAAUUAAACCACAUGCUCCGCUGCUUGUGCGGGUCCCCGUCAAUUCCUUUGAGUUUUAGCCUUGCGGCCGUACUCCCCAGGCGGGGCACUUAAUGCGUUAGCUCCGGCACGGGAGGAGUCGACACCUCCCACACCUAGUGCCCAUCGUUUACGGCGUGGACUAC
rnacentral:misc_RNA from 1 species